GGGCGACGCCGUGAUCACAAAGGUGGUUUUCCCAGGGCAAGGCUCACCCAUUGCACUUUGGAUGCCCCUGUGAUUUACUCAAAUGUGGGAAACUCGA
rnacentral:snRNA from 1 species